rnacentral:rRNA from 1 species
UGCAAGUCGAGCGGAGAUGAGGUGCUUGCACCUUAUCUUAGCGGCGGACGGGUGAGUAAUGCUUAGGAAUCUGCCUAUUAGUGGGGGACAACAUUCCGAAAGGAAUGCUAAUACCGCAUACGUCCUACGGGAGAAAGCAGGGGAUCUUCGGACCUUGCGCUAAUAGAUGAGCCUAAGUCGGAUUAGCUAGUUGGUGGGGUAAAGGCCUACCAAGGCGACGAUCUGUAGCGGGUCUGAGAGGAUGAUCCGCCACACUGGGACUGAGACACGGCCCAGACUCCUACGGGAGGCAGCAGUGGGGAAUAUUGGACAAUGGGGGGAACCCUGAUCCAGCCAUGCCGCGUGUGUGAAGAAGGCCUUAUGGUUGUAAAGCACUUUAAGCGAGGAGGAGGCUACUGAGACUAAUACUCUUGGAUAGUGGACGUUACUCGCAGAAUAAGCACCGGCUAACUCUGUGCCAGCAGCCGCGGUAAUACAGAGGGUGCGAGCGUUAAUCGGAUUUACUGGGCGUAAAGCGUGCGUAGGCGGCUUUUUAAGUCGGAUGUGAAAUCCCCGAGCUUAACUUG